rnacentral:piRNA from 1 species
UGGGUUAGUUAAAGUGAGUAUUUUCCUGG